CCCUUCGACGUCAUAAUGAUCGUCGUGGGCGAACGAACCGUGUCCCGUGCUUCUCUAACUCGGCAGAGGGGAGCUUUCGUGCUCUUCUCCUUGCCCUUCGAAGGCUUGACCUCAAAUCA
rnacentral:rRNA from 1 species